AGCGGCGAACGGGACAGUAAUGUGUAGGUACCUACCCCCGGGACCGGGAUAGCUGCGGGAAACUGCAGGUAAUACCGGAUAACGUCCCAGGACCAAAGGUGUGAUUCCACCUGGGGAGGGGCCUGCAUCCUAUUAGCUUGUUGGUGGGGUAACGGCUCACCAAGGCGACGAUGGGUAGCGGGUGUGAGAGCACGACCCGCGUCAUUGGGACUGAGAUACUGCCCAGACACCUACGGGUGGCUGCAGUCGAGGAUCUUCGGCAAUGGGGGAAACCCUGACCGAGCGACGCCGCGUGCGGGAUGAAGGCCUUCGGGUUGUAAACCGCUGUCGUAGAGGAGGAAGUGCAGGGGGGUUCUCCCCUCUGCUUGACCUAUUCUAGGAGGAAGUACGGGCUAAGUUCGUGCCAGCAGCCGCGGUAAGACGAACCGUACAAACGUUACUCGGAAUUACUGGGCUUAAAGGGUGCGUAGGCUGCGCGGAAAGUUGGGUGUGAAAGCCCUCAGCUCAACUGAGGAAUUGCACUCAAAACUACCGUGCUCGAGGGAGACAGAGGUAAGCGGAACUCAAGGUGGAGCGGUGAAAUGCGUUGAUAUCUUGAGGAACACCGGUGGCGAAGGCGGCUUACUGGGUCUUUUCUGACGCUGAGGCACGAAAGCUAAGGUAGCAAACGGGAUUAGAUACCCCGGUAGCCUUAGCUGUA
rnacentral:rRNA from 1 species